UCCGGCACACCUGGCCAGGCGCAGCCAGCCCAGGGCCACGUCAGCUCGGCUCCGCUCCACGACGCCGGCUCACAGGCAGCUAAAUCCAGCAUGAGAGCUCAUCCUUUUGCCAGACAUCAAUGAAACACUACAGAAGAAGUUGUGAGCUGGGCUGUACAGUGUUGGACUCAUGGAGAAGAACUGGUGACAGCUGCUGGCACAAUGCCUGGCUGCCUCAAGCUGUGGGAUCCUGUGAAGGGUCCACUCCUUACCUGGGGGACAGAGACUGACAGUACCCCACAAGUGCAUAUAACAGCUGGAGCCAUGGGUGACAGGGAAAAACCUGGCCAGAUGCAUUUUUUUGGAGCUGGUAUCACCUUUCUCCAUCAUAAGUUUCUCCAUGAAAUGUCCUCCUGUCUUCAGAAUGUACCCAGCACUGCCCAAGACAAGCAGAUGAAGAUGGGGCCACCCUGGUUUGUGUGGGUGUUGGGGGUUACCCAGCUUCUAUGGAUCCUAAUAAAGACGUGCAGCAGAUCCAGUCGGGGAAACUUUGUUCAAAGACGGGAAGAGCCAGGCGUGGGGGCCUCUCAGCCCCGGCGUGCAGAAAGGACACGGCCACAUGGAGCCCCCGUUCCCUGCUGCUGCGAGUGCCUCCGGCUGGGAGCAUCCCGCCGCCAGUUCCCACGGGGACAGCGGCCAACCCCGACGGUUGGAAGCUCCCGUCCGUGGUAUCAGAGAGGAGCGGGGAAAGCAUUCCCCCGAGGCCCGCAGCGGGGAGAGUGCGGGGUCCUAACUCCGGUCUCCCGGGAGCUCCGGGACAUCCGACGGGAGGCAGCUGCCAGCCAUCCCGGGAGUGGGGCGGGCUAAUCCGGGCUCGGGAGAUCCGUUCCUGCGAGUGCAGAGGAGAGUUGAGACAUCAUUCGUGGCGGAGCUGACAGUGAAGUGCUAGGGCUCGAAAGUGAUGUGCCCCCGGGAACAGGAGGCAUCCAUCUGGAACAACCCGCGCAGGGAUCACGGGCAUCGGCCAGCGCCGGCCAGGGAGCAGCCUGGAGCUCCCGGUGCCGGCCAGGGAGCAGCCCCUGCAGCCUUCUUGGGAGUGCAGUGGCACUGGGGGUCGCGGGGCCAGCACUGUAGUGUUUGGGCCAUGUAGCUUGCCUGUUUGCUAGGAGGCAGGGACCAGAGACUCCUCUGAGCAGGAAAAAUGGAGCCCUGGUUUAGUGGUGGGAGGGGGAGAAAGAUGGAACUUGGGGAGCCCUUUUGCCUCUGCACUGCAGACUCUGCCCAGCCAUACUCUAAACACUGUGCUGCAGUGAGAGGGAUCUUUGUGGAUGCCUGGAUAUUUCCUUAGGGAGCUCUCAGGUGCAUUAUCAUGUACUGCACUGUGCAGCAGGCAGGACUGAGCCUCACCAUCCCAGCCAGAUGCACCCCCUAAGACCUUCCUGACCUCCUUGUAUGGGGUGGAACACCCACGGGUGGGAGAUAGCUGGAGGCCAGGGUGGGGGCUGUGGUGAUGAAGAAGAGGCAAGGGCUGCAGAUGCACCCUAGGAAGGGGAGAUCCCCCACCUUGGUCCCAGGAUGGGGAAUUAGGAAAUACAACACCUUGGAAAGACCUGGGCUCAACUGCCUGGAUCAGGACUUCUGAGUGGAUUUGGUGGAAUGGGAAUCAAUGGGGAAUGACUGUUUCCUGCUUCUUCUAGAGCAAGAUACAGGGGGAACCAGAUAAAAUAGGUGUGUCUAAAACAAGCAGAACAAGAUUUUUUUUUUGUGGAAAAUGUAGCGGAGCUCUAGGACUUCUUGUUGGUGUGGUCAAGGGUGCUAAACCUCUGUAUAGGAUGCAAGCACCUUUAGACAAAAUAAUGUUAGAAGAGCAUGGGGAUGACUGCAAAGGCACAUCCUCUGCUCUGGAGAGAGACUGUGCUGCAAGGACUGGCAUCAGGAGCAGGGAUGUGCAGGGGAUGCUGCUCAGAGGAGGCAGUGGGGUGCCUAGGUAAGCGCAGGGCUGCUCUGCAGGGUGGCCAGGUCCCAGCAGUAGGACUGCUCCUUGCCCAAAGGUCCAGAUUCCUUCUCCUUUCAUGCCCUCUGGCCAGACCCGAUGGAGCAUGUCCUUGUGCCUCACAAUGGGCGUGUCAAGGUGUGCCAGGCUCCAGCCUGUGCACAGACUGGCACAGGGGCACCAUGGGCACCCACUGAGGGUACUCCUUGGUGCAAGCUGCAGAUGCAAUGGCCAUGACUCAGGGAGGAAAUUUUUCCUUUGGAAAUAAGGAACAUAAUUGAUGCCUGAUUCAAAGCCACAGUAGGUCAUGCUCUGUCCUCGUCUCCCCCUCCCCUGCUCUUGUCUGUGUCUCUCUGGGGUGUAGUUCAGAUAAGUGUUGCUCCCUGAUUUGAGUUGACCAUGGAGACAUUUGUGCAGGGCACAGUGUCCCUAGAGCAGGGGCUGUGAGACCAGCCCAGCUUCCAGCAGACACAGCAGUGGGGAUGGUUGUGUUGGGAUGGAUCUGGGUUCUGCCAAGAUACGUUCUUCUUGGGGCUGCCGAUAAAAGAACAAGGCCAUGUCCACCCACAAAAACAAACAAGCAGGUGUUCAUCUUCAGUGGUGUGUGAAUGUGGGCGGGAGGGAUGGGGAGACUCUGUAUCCAGACCCGCUGCGACCUGUGUUGACCUUUGAGCACUCCUGCUCCAUCUCAAGGUGCAUCUUCUCCUCAUACCUGGGGGUGUAGGAUGGAAUUGGGAUGUUGCAAAGGAGACAUAACCUUGUUACCACCUUCUGUGUCUCUAAAGCAGGGAAGAUGCAAUGAGGUGCAGCCAAAACCUGGGUGUGGGAGAGGGCAACAUAACAGUGGGUCAAGGGGAUUGGGGCACAUCCUGUCCCUCACCUAGUGCCCUGGGAGGGAGCUUUA